rnacentral:rRNA from 1 species
AUAGGGGAGCCGCAGGGAAACCGAGUCUUAACUGGGCGUUAAGUUGCAGGGUAUAGACCCGAAACCCGGUGAUCUAGCCAUGGGCAGGUUGAAGGUUGGGUAACACUAACUGGAGGACCGAACCGACUAAUGUUGAAAAAUUAGCGGAUGACUUGUGGCUGGGGGUGAAAGGCCAAUCAAACCGGGAGAUAGCUGGUUCUCCCCGAAAGCUAUUUAGGUAGCGCCUCGUGAACUCAUCUUCGGGGGUAGAGCACUGUUUCGGCUAGGGGGUCAUCCCGACUUACCAACCCGAUGCAAACUACGAAUACCGAAGAAUGUUAUCACGGGAGACACACGGCGGGUGCUAACGUCCGUCGUGAAGAGGGAAACAACCCAGACCGCCAGCUAAGGUCCCAAAGUCAUGGUUAAGUGGGAAACGAUGUGGGAAGGCCCAGACAGCCAGGAUGUUGGCUUAGAAGCAGCCAUCAUUUAAAGAAAGCGUAAUAGCUCACUGGUCGAGUCGGCCUGCGCGGAAGAUGUAACGGGGCUAAACCAUGCACCGAAGCUGCGGCAGCGACGCUUAUGCGUUGUUGGGUAGGGGAGCGUUCUGUAAGCCGUUGAAGGUGGCCUGUGAGGGUUGCUGGAGGUAUCAGAAGUGCGAAUGCUGACAUAAGUAACGAUAAUGCGGGUGAAAAACCCGCACGCCGGAAGACCAAGGGUUCCUGUCCAACGUUAAUCGGGGCAGGGUGAGUCGACCCCUAAGGCGAGGCCGAAAGGCGUAGUCGAUGGGAAACAGGUUAAUAUUCCUGUACUUGGUGUUACUGCGAAGGGGGGACGGAGAAGGCUAUGUUGGCCGGGCGACGGUUGUCCCGGUUUAAGCAUGUAGGCGGAUGUUCCAGGUAAAUCCGGAACGUUAUUAACGCUGAGGUGUGAUGACGAGGCACUACGGUGCUGAAGUGACAAAUGCCCUGCUUCCAGGAAAAGCCUCUAAGCAUCAGGUAACAUCAAAUCGUACCCCAAACCGACACAGGUGGUCAGGUAGAGAAUACCAAGGCGCUUGAGAGAACUCGGGUGAAGGAACUAGGCAAAAUGGUGCCGUAACUUCGGGAGAAGGCACGCUGAUGGUAAGUGAAGUGACUUGCUCAUGGAGCUGAAAUCAGUCGAAGAUACCAGCUGGCUGCAACUGUUUAUUAAAAACACAGCACUGUGCAAACACGAAAGUGGACGUAUACGGUGUGACGCCUGCCCGGUGCCGGAAGGUUAAUUGAUGGGGUUAUCCUCGCGGAGAAGCUCUUGAUCGAAGCCCCGGUAAACGGCGGCCGUAACUAUAACGGUCCUAAGGUAGCGAAAUUCCUUGUCGGGUAAGUUCCGACCUGCACGAAUGGCGUAAUGAUGGCCAGGCUGUCUCCACCCGAGACUCAGUGAAAUUGAACUCGCUGUGAAGAUGCAGUGUACCCGCGGCAAGACGGAAAGACCCCGUGAACCUUUACUAUAGCUUGACACUGAACACUGGUCCUUGAUGUGUAGGAUAGGUGGGAGGCUUUGAAGUGUGGACGCCAGUCUGCAUGGAGCCGUCCUUGAAAUACCACCCUUUAAUGGCUGGUGUUCUAACGUGGGCCCGUAAUCCGGGUUGCGGACAGUGUCUGGUGGGUAGUUUGACUGGGGCGGUCUCCUCCUAAAGAGUAACGGAGGAGCACGAAGGUCAGCUAAUCCUGGUCGGACAUCAGGAGGUUAGUGCAAUGGCAUAAGCUGGCUUGACUGCGAGCGUGACGGCGCGAGCAGGUGCGAAAGCAGGUCAUAGUGAUCCGGUGGUUCUGAAUGGAAGGGCCAUCGCUCAACGGAUAAAAGGUACUCCGGGGAUAACAGGCUGAUACCGCCCAAGAGUUCAUAUCGACGGCGGUGUUUGGCACCUCGAUGUCGGCUCAUCACAUCCUGGGGCUGAAGUAGGUCCCAAGGGUAUGGCUGUUCGCCAUUUAAAGUGGUACGCGAGCUGGGUUUAGAACGUCGUGAGACAGUUCGGUCCCUAUCUGCCGUGGGCGCUGGAGAAUUGAGGGGGGCUGCUCCUAGUACGAGAGGACCGGAGUGGACGCAUCACUGGUGUUCGGGUUGUCAUGCCAAUGGCAUUGCCCGGUAGCUAAAUGCGGAAGAGAUAAGUGCUGAAAGCAUCUAAGCACGAAACUUGCCCCGAGAUGAGUUCUCCCUGACCCUUUAAGGGUCCUGAAGGAACGUUGAAGACGACGACGUUGAUAGGCCGGGUGUGUAAGCGCAGCGAUGCGUUGAGCUAACCGGUACUAAUGAACCGUGAGGCUUAACCUUACAACGCCGAAG